UACAGAGGGUGCAAGCGUUAAUCGGAAUUACUGGGCGUAAAGCGUGCGUAGACGGUUGCGUAAGUCAGAUGUGAAAGCCCCGGGCUCAACCUGGGAAUUGCAUUUGAGACUGCGUAGCUAGGGUGCGGAAGAGGGAAGCGGAAUUUCCGGUGUAGCGGUGAAAUGCGUAGAUAUCGGAAGGAACACCAGUGGCGAAAGCGGCUUCCUGGUCCAGCACCGACGUUCAGGCAC
rnacentral:rRNA from 1 species